GACGUGUGUUCUCGCCUCCAAACUGGAAAGUCACGGAGAACCCGGGAAAAUUCACAUCAGCCCCACGACAUAUCAGAUUCUUGUGAAUAAAGGAUUCUCAUUCGAAAAGCGGGGUAAAAUUGAGUUGAGAGGCUAUGGAAUGUUGGAGACCUAUUUCUUGUUGAAGAACGAUAUUCUGUCGGAGGACGACUUGCUCGGGCGUUCACACAACAAUCCGGAAGUGAUGUAUAUAAACGAAGGGCGUGUGGCGGGGCUGGCAUACGCCCGCAACAACCGAGUGUAUCCGAUCGCAGAGAGCACUUCCUCAGUCAGUAGCAGACCGUUGUCCGGUGAGAGCGGAUCCGGGUCGCUGCAG